rnacentral:rRNA from 1 species
UACGUAGGGUGCAAGCGUUGUGCGGAAUUAUUGGGCGUAAAGAGCUCGUAGGCGGUUUGUCGCGUCUGCUGUGAAAACUCGGGGCUUAACUCCGGGCCUGCAGUGGGUACGGGCAGACUAGAGUGCUGUAGGGGAGACUGGAAUUCCUGGUGUAGCGGUGAAAUGCGCAGAUAUCAGGAGGAACACCGGUGGCGAAGGCGGGUCUCUGGGCCGUAACUGACGCUGAGGAGUGAAAGCGUGGGGAGCAAACAGG